CGCCAGGGAGGGUGGGUUCUGUAGAGGAAAGGUCCCUGGUUGAUCCACUGGAGCUGCAAGUGGUCUGUGUCUGCAGUGGAACCUGACAGCCCCCAGGGCGUGGCAGCUACCACCCUGCUAGAAGGUAAACAUCCCACAGAACUGCCAGGGUUGGGGAGGGGCUGGGCAGAGACCACCCCCGAUGCCUGGGCUCCUGGACUGGCUCCAUCCCCCCACUGAUCCAGGGCACCAGAGCUUAGCAAGUGACCUGGUGCACAGUCUGCCCCCGUACAGACGAGGAGCCUGGGGACCUGGUCUCAGGCUGCUGUGACCAUCUCUGCCAACCUCUGGGAAUGCUCGAGAACUCUGCCCCAGGGAGUCACUUCCUUCUUUAAACCUGGGUUUUCUCAGCUGUAAAGUGGAUGGAACCGGGUGCCCUCCUCCCGGGGGCCACUGUGUGGGCAGAAGGCAGCUGGCAGGCCUUGAUGGAGCUGCUUCUGCAGUUUGACAAAGGUCCCUCCAGACGAGUCUGCUGAGUCUGCCAGCUUCCUAGAGUGCCCCAGGAACUGGCUGAGCUGCAUUCCAGACCCCCUGGCACAAGGACAAAGUUCUUGGAGGGGGUCUGUGGCUCUGAACCUGACUUUCCAGGCCCGGUCAUCUCAAGAGAGAAGGAGGGGCAGAGGUAGAGAGAAAGUCCUAAGCAGGCUCCACACCCAGCAUGAAGCCCAGCAUGGGACUCGAUCUUGUGACCCUGAGAUCACCACCUGAGCCGAAAUCAAGAGUCAGACGCCUAACUGACUGAGCCACCCGGGCGGCCCAAGAUUUUGUCUUUUUGUGUAUGAUCAUCCCAGUGGGUGCCAAGUAGCAUCCUGGUGAGCUUUGAUUUUCAUCUCCCCGGUGGCUCCUGUUGAGGUCUUCUCAUGUGCUCCUUAGUCAUUCAUAAGCCUUUGGUGUAGUGUCUGCUGAAAUCUUUUGCCAAUUUUUUUCUUGAAUUGUGUAUAUCAUCACUGAGUUUUGAGAGUUUACUUAUAUGUCCCUCAUACCAGUCCUUUAUCACAUACACGUAUGUAUGUUUUAUAAGUAUUUCCUCCCAGCUUGCUUCUUUCCUUUUUAAUUUUCUUAAUGGUGGCUUCUGAAGAACCAACAUUUUAAAUGUUGCUAAAAUCCUGUUUAUUAAUGAUCUUCUCUGACGGGUUGCCCUUUUGCUCUUC
rnacentral:lncRNA from 1 species